rnacentral:lncRNA from 1 species
CUGAAUUUUAUCUUCUACACAAGUCCAAAAACAAAAAAAAAAACAUAGAGGAGACGGAGGGAGGGUCUAAGGGAGCUUCAUCAAAAAAACAAUUUAGAGGCUUAGCCUGAAGCAAAAUUGGAGAAAGGAUUUUCUUUACAUCUUUUCAGUUUCUUUUUGUUUCGAAGAAAAUUCCCUAAAAAAAAAGAUUUUGCGAUUUGUUUUCAUCUUAGUUAUACUUUUUAAGAGACCCGAUGAGAAAAGGAAGAAAGAAUAUUUUCACUUUUAGUUUCAUCUCUAGCUACUCGAUCUGAAAAAUCACAUACAAUAUAUUAGCUUCUUUUGAGAGAAAGCAAGGGAAACAAAAAUGGGUUUCGCAUAAGAUUUGGUUCAUGUUUGAUGAAUCAAGGUAUACAGUCCCCUAUUCGAGCUUUGGUCCAUAGAUUCUUGCAGAUUAUUCUAGUCGCUGUUUUAGCUUCGAUGUUGAAUUUUCUUGUAAUCGCUGCUCCCGAACAGAAAAUAUAUUGAAGAAAGCUACUUAAAGGUCAGUCUCUUCUCUGUUCUCACUUAUGUGCAUACUUAUACCUUGAAUGAUCUAAAAGCAAUAUAAGUGUCCAAUGUGAUUAGUUAUUAAAUUAUCUUACUUAGACGUUGAAUGAUCUAAAAGUAAUGUAAGUGUCGAAUGUGAUUAGCUGUUAAAUUAAGAUAGUUUUGAAAGCUGAACCAAAGGUAUUAGAAUUUCUAUUCUUAUAUACAUAUAUUAUUUUACUAAUAUUCUGCUACUUUGUAGUAUUAUAUAUUUUGAAAAAUUCAAUUUCUUUUGUUUGCAUUAUUUCUUUUCGGUAGUAUACUAGUAGGCUAUUUCCAACAUGAUUUGAGAUUUUCUUUGGUCGUCACUUUCUUGGAAAGAGGAUUUAAUCUUGUAGAUGUAUUUUUGGUUCACAUUGACAAUAGUGUUUCCUUCGGAUUUUGGGUUUUUAGUUAUUAUUGAUAUGUUUGAAAAGCUUUCUUACUGUUUAUACUUAUUUAAUUUUUUAUUUUUUUCGUUAAUUUUUUUCUAUUCUAUCUCUUUUCCCUGAUUUUGGAGUAUUUAGAAGUUAUUGUUCUCUUUUAGUUGUUACGUUUUCGAAUCAUCAUUGUGUUCAAUUAGAUUUCUCUAUACUAAGUUAAUUUAAGUUUCAGAGUAAUAUAAUUACUAAUUACAGAUGGACCUUUAUCUUGCUUUAGUCAUUUCUUUUGCUACUUGUUAAUUAGUUUACUUAUAUGAUGGAAUGAUUCUAUGUGCUUGAUGGUUUCUGAGUACAAACAAGAGAAAGUUAUGAAGGAUGAGUGAGAAUUGCUUGAAUUGGGUCGUGGGGGUGAUGUUAAAUGUGAAAAAUCAUACCGUAAAUAUUUAGUCUUUUUGCUCUCAUUAUUUUCUUAAACGUUAGGAGCAUAUUUUAAGUCAACCACAUAUGAGCAGGCGAAUUUUUAGGCGCACUAUUUAAAUUAAUUUCUUUAAACUCGGGUAUGUAUUUUAUGUGACUCAAUUUCAAUCCAAAUAACGUUAGAUAAAAUGUGUCGUGGACCACAGGUGCAUUUAUGUGACAUGGUUAGAGACGUAUUUUAAUAACGUUGCAAUCUUCCUUAAAAAUUAAAUAAAAGCAGUGAAUAAUUUAAAAUUGCACUAUAGGUUGAAACAUGUACUAAAAUCAGAUAAUUAAGCCGAAUAUAACAGUUGAGCGACCGUGCUAGAACCACGAAACUCGGGAAUGCCUAACACCUUCUUCCGGGUUAACAGAAUUCCUUACCCGGAUUUCUGCCUCGCAGACUAUAUUACAGAGUCAAACUGUUACAUUCUAUGUUUUCGUACGUGAGAGUACAUCGAAAACCAAUUGAUGUAAGCUCAGAAAUGAUAUCAUUUUUUUGAAAGUACAUAAUGUUAGUUUAAUCUUGUUAUAUUGGAGGUUAUAAAUCUUUAAGAUCAUGAAUAACAAGUACCAAUGGGUUGGAAAGUAUAGACGCUUAACAAACACAAGAAAAUAAGUUCCGUUGAAAAUCGACAAAUUUGAAAUAUUAUAACAUGUACUUUGGGGUGAGACUAGGGUUCUUAACAUGAUAAGGAGGUUAUUCUAUGAGNNNNNNNNNNNNNNNNNNNNNNNNNNNNNNNNNNNNNNNNNNNNNNNNNNNNNNNNNNNNNNNNNNNNNNNNNNNNNNNAAUAUUCAUUUUCUACAUUUUUAAGGCAAGCAAGUUGUGGAACAAGAGUUGGCAAAGGUCAUCACAAGUUACAUUCAUAAAUUUACUGAAAUUUAGGCCAAAUGUAGAUGCACUUUUCUCCCAAUAUACUUGGAAUCAAGGGAUGAUCUAUAUAUAAAAUUGAAUAUAUACGAGUCUAGUUUCCAACACAUUAAACAGUUCAUGUAUACGACAUCGGAGUAGAGAGAUAUUCGAUUUUUCGCGAGACUGCGCAAACAGCUCCCAAUGGAACCCACGUAGGCGGUAGUUGAGCUACUUCAAUUUAUAAACGAUUUGGAUGCCUAUUUUUGCUUAUUUUUCAACUCAACCUCAUCUCCAAACUUCUCCAAACCCUUCUAAACAUGUUCCACAAGGGUUUGAAGUGAUUACAGCAUAUUUCAACAUCAAACCUAGUCCUAGUGAAGAACAACACCUCUUUGAGGUUGUGUUGUCAUUGAGGAUUCUUGUCGGCUGUAUUUGGAUGAAAUUCUAAGUUGUUGUUGCUGUCUAAGGUGAGUCUAACAGCCUACUGAUUGUGCUUAAGUUUUCUUGUAUGUUGGUUAAGUUGUUAGGAUGAUAAACUACAAGAUAAUACUUGGAUUAACUUAAGUCCUUUCUUUGGUAUUGUAUUGCCAUUGAGGGUCAUUGUAAGCUGAAUAUAACUUGGAUUUCGAAUUGAAGUUACUGUAGGAGGUAGGUAUAUUGUGUUCUUUUAUGUGACUAAGGUUAUAUUGAUGUUGAUUAAGUUAAAUAGAAGGAGUAUACAUGAACUAGUGAAUAAAACUACUAAUUGAAAAUUGUUGGAGUUGUGGAUUGUUCCUUUGUUAUAAAUAUAUAGUAUAAGGAUGGAAUCAUUGAUGAAUGACUUCAUUAUCAUGUUAAUGGUACUUGUAAGUUAAUGUAAGAAGUCUAUAAGGGGAAUAUGGAUUAUACAUAUUCCAAUUGGAAUAUGGUGUUGUAUUGUCAUUGAGGGUUAUGGUAAGCUGAAUAUAACUUGGAUUUCGACUUGAAGUUACUAUAGGAGGUUGGUAUAUUUUUUUCUUGCAUGUGCCUAAGGUUAUCUGAUGUUUAUUAAGUUAAAUGGAUGGAGUAGACAUGAACUAGUGAAUAAAGUUACUAAUCGAAGAUAGUUAUAGUUGUGGAUUGUUUCCUUUGUUAUAAAUAUAUGGUAUAAGGAUGGAAUCAUUGAUGAAUGACUUCAUUAUCAUAUUAAUAAUACAUUUUAGUUAAUCUAAGAAGUCGGUAAGCGGUAGAUUGGUUAUAUGAAUUCCAAUUGGAGCUUGCCGCUCGUCGUGAAGUAGUUGGGACUUAUUGUUGUUAUGUGGUGUCUUGUUAUUAACAUUUAUAUGUUGAUGAAUUUCUAUAGUUGUUAUUGUUGGUAUAUGGUAUUAGUGGAGGCCCUUGUUACAAUGGAGAUGCUGCCCAAAUUUAAGUAAAACAAGCUACUAGCAUAAGUUAUAGACUUGGCCUUUGAUCAACACUAAUUUUGAAUCUCCUUAUGCUAUGAUAGAUCGAGUUGACUUGUAAGAAGAGUAAAUUGGAAGGAAUUAAGGACUCAACAUGUUUAAGGUAUGUUAAGGCUAAGCUUCGUCCUUUCUUUUAGCACGACUUCUGGGAAAUUCCUAAGACGCUGAAGAGUCACUUGGAAGGAAUUAAGGACUCAACAUGUUUAAGGUAUGUUAAGGCUGAGCUCUAUCCUUUCUUUUAGCACGAAUUCUGGGAAAUUCCUAAGACGUCAAAUGUGAUAUUUUACUAUUCUAUUGCUAGAAAGACCUUCUGUGGAAGGCAUUGGGAUCAUAGCUGAAGUAUGUUCAUAACGCUAUUAAAAUUGGUGUUCCACUCAUUCGAUUAAAUCGGGUAUUCGACAUCUAUAUAUGUCAUUUUGUCGGAUUUCUUAACUAUACGUCUAUAUAUAUGAAUUCUUAUUCGUCUUUGGGUUGUGUAACUGAAAAAGUAAUAAUAAUAAUAAUAAACAAAUAAAAUAAAUAAAGGUACUUAGUAUUUGCGAUCAGUCUUUCUUCUUUGUUAAAGUGUAUUUUAAAAUCUCUAAAGGGAGACGUCGAUUUCCAGUAAUCUCAGAUAUAAUUUUUAUUUAAACUACUAAAACACUUGAUUUUUUUUAAAUACUUUCUUUAAUUAAAUAUCAAGAAAUCAGGUAUAAGGACUAAGUGAAGCACCUUAAGCUUUUUACGAACAUCUUCAGAGUUAAGUUAUCCUUCUAAAAGUCGAGUUACGUUUUCAAGCUUAUUCAAUGAAAAGAAAGAUAUGAGGUUCCACGAAGCAAUUGUAUGCAGUACGGAGGUGAUUAUGAGAUCAUGAGAAUAAGGGUACCUAUGAGCCAAGAUUGGCUAAGUUCUUAUUAUGUGCAUUCAAAGUUCAUAUCAUACAUGGCAUAUUAUGCGUGGACUUCGAGCUAUAAUUGAAGGUAAGGGUUAUAUUUGCCCGCAAAAACUAUAUAUUGUACAGACGGCCACGAGAUGGCAAUAUGAUACCGGUUAGCUACCGGAAGAGACCAUCACUGCUAGCAUUUGGUUUGGUAUGUCAUGCAUUUUCAUCAAUAUAUAUAUUUACACGAGCAUACCAUGCAUAUUUGUUUAUUAUGAGGUCGGUUGUCGUCCAUGAGGCUAUCAGAGUUUCAGUGUCAGGUGGUAUCUCUAUUAUUUCUUUUACAUUAGCUAUGUGUGAUUCUACUUCCUGCCUUACAUACCAGUACAUGUUUAUUCGUACUGAUGUCUCGUUGCCUGGGGACACUGCAUUUUGUUCGUGCGUGCAGGUCCAGGUAGGACUCUGAUCGACCCCUCUGCUAGGAUUUCGAGGUCCAGCUGUGAGUUGGUAAGCUCCACCUCUUCCUGGAGCUUUCAUAGGAUGGUUACUUUUGUUGUACAAUUUGGGUAUAGUCGGGGCCUUGUCUCGACAAUACUUAUGACACUUUUAGAGGCUAUUGUGGGCAUAGUAUUCUAGGUUUCCUUUUACAGCUUCCACUCUCCACCCCAUAGGCUUGGCAUGUACAUAUAUGUAUGUAGGCAUGUAUGUCUCCAAUCACGGCCUCGUCGGCCAGCUAGUACUGUAUUAUUUUGACUCGUCUACUUUUGGUUAUAUGGUUUAUUGUUAUUCAGGUCAUGACCUUAAUGGUACAGGCU